rnacentral:rRNA from 1 species
AUAAAUAGUUCUAUAACAAAACAAUUCGCCAGAGAACUACUAGCAACAGCUUAAAACUCAAAGGACUUGGCGGUGCUUUAUAUCCCUCUAGAGGAGCCUGUUCUAUAAUCGAUAAACCCCGAUAAACCUCACCAUCCCUUGCUAAUACAGUCUAUAUACCGCCAUCUUCAGCAAA